UACGUAGGGGGCUAGCGUUGUCCGGAAUCAUUGGGCGUAAAGCGCGUGUAGGCGGUCAGGUAGGUCCGUUGUGAAAACUCGAGGCUCAACCUCGAGACGCCGAUGGAAACCAUCUGACUAGAGUCCGGAAGAGGAGAGUGGAAUUCCUGGUGUAGCGGUGAAAUGCGCAGAUAUCAGGAAGAACACCCGUGGCUAAGGCGGCUCUCUAGUACGGUACUGACGCUGAGACGCGAAAGCGUGGGGAGCGAACAGG
rnacentral:rRNA from 1 species